AUUGAACGCUGGCGGAAUGCUUUACACAUGCAAGUCGAACGGCAGCACGGACUUCGGUCUGGUGGCGAGUGGCGAACGGGUGAGUAAUGUAUCGGAACGUGCCCAGUCGUGGGGGAUAAUGUAGUGAAAAUUACGCUAAUACCGCAUACGAUCUAUGGAUGAAAGCGGGGGAUCGCAAGACUUCGCGCGAUUGGAGCGGCCGAUAUCAGAUUAGGUAGUUGGUGGGGUAAAGGCCCACCAAGCCAACGAUCUGUAGCUGGUCUGAGAGGACGACCAGCCACACUGGAACUGAGACACGGUCCAGACUCCUACGGGAGGCAGCAGUGGGGAAUUUUGGACAAUGGGCGAAAGCCUGAUCCAGCCAUUCCGCGUGCAGGAUGAAGGCCCUCGGGUUGUAAACUGCUUUUGUACAGAACGAAAAGGUUUCUACUAAUACUAGGAGCUCAUGACGGUACUGUAAGAAUAAGCACCGGCUAUCUACGUGCCAGCCGCCGCAGUAA
rnacentral:rRNA from 1 species